rnacentral:lncRNA from 1 species
CUCCGAGGAGUCAGUAUGAUCAAGAAACAUCUUUCAGGCAAGUGUGUGCUUGCAGACGCAAUCCUGCACCUGAUCUGAGAUGCAAGUAAUUUUUGCAUGUCCACGUACAUAGCUCAAAACAUUGGAGAAGCGGACACUGUCAGGAGGAUUGGUGGGGUUCAAACAUUUCAACAAGUUGUCAAUGCUUUGCCAAGCUUGUCCUGUGAAUCCUGCUUUGUGCAGUACAGCGUUGCCUAUCAGAAUGAUGGCGACUCUAUAGUACGGUAUGCAUAAGAAGUGACUCAUUGAUCAAUUGGACGAUGAGUAAAGUUAAGCUCAAACCCGCUGCCUUGGCCAACCUGUGGAACAGAAUUCUGCAUGAGGAAGAUAUUGGGGACCCUGCUUAGACUAGUAGUAUGCCAGCUGCACGCUCUCCUGUACACAAAUGUGGCACAAAUAAGCUCCACAGGGCCUGGCCAAUAGACUGGCAUGUGGCUGUUGGCGCUGAGCUCACAAGAUUAUUACCAGUUCUUGACACUGUCAGCCUGUACUCAUGAAGCUUCAAGCUUAGAGACUGAACGGCAUGAAUGGCAUGC